UAGCCCUUGGAUGGUUGGAUUUGUGC
rnacentral:piRNA from 1 species